UUCAAGGGAUGGGAGGUACUUAAGAUGUUCACACAAUAUUAUUUGGCAUUUCCAAGCUUGCGACAUUCCUUGAUAAAAGAUUAAUGAUAGUUGCAUAGUAAGACACCGCUUCCACAACUUGAGCAAAUGGGUUCAUAAUUAUUGAAUCCUAUACAAAUGGGAAGAGAACAAUAAUAUCUCCUCUCCUAUUUGAAUUUUCCCUAAAGGUAUUUACAAAGGGUUCUCUCAACUAGGAACAUGAUGGAAAGAAAUUUGAAGGAGGUAAUUUAGGGGAGAUUAAAUGAGUUGGAGAUACCUGAUAGCAUUGUUUUAGAGUUUUGUUGCCCUUAUUAUCCCUAUUGGAACAAGGUGGUAUAGGUACAUUAGAUUUGACUACCAUGAAAAACUUCCAAUCCUCCACUAAUAAGAUCAGUAUUAUACCUAUCCCUUGCAUGUUCCACUUCAUCCAUAAUAUUUAAAAGAUAUUUUGAGGAGGUGUUGGUGAUGCAAG
rnacentral:lncRNA from 1 species